AUUGAACGCUGGCGGCAUGCCUUACACAUGCAAGUCGAGCGGCAGCGCGGGGGCAACCCUGGCGGCGAGCGGCGCACGGGUGAGUAAUACAUCGGAACGUGUCCUUUUGUGGGGGAUAACCAGUCGAAAGACUGGCUAAUACCGCAUGAGAUCUCACGAUGAAAGCGGGGGACCGCAAGGCCUCGCGCGAUUGGAGCGGCCGAUGUCGGAUUAGCUAGNGGCGGGGUAAAGCCCACCAAGGCGACGAUCCGUAGCUGGUUUGAGAGAACGACCAGCCACACUGGGACUGAGACACGGCCCAGACUCCUACGGGAGGCAGCAGUGGGGAAUUUUGGACAAUGGGGGCAACCCUGAUCCAGCCAUGCCGCGUGUGUGAAGAAGGCCUCGGUGUAAGU
rnacentral:rRNA from 1 species